rnacentral:rRNA from 1 species
GCGUAAGCGCGCGCAGGUGGUUUCUUAAGUCUGAUGUGAAAGCCCACGGCUCAACCGUGGAGGGUCAUUGGAAACUGGGAGACUUGAGUGCAGAAGAGGAAAGUGGAAUUCCAUGUGUAGCGGUGAAAUGCGUAGAGAUAUGGAGGAACACCAGUGGCGAAGGCGACUUUCUGGUCUGUAACUGACACUGAGGCGCGAAAGCGUGGGGAGCAAACAGGAUUAGAUACCCUGGUAGUCCACGCCGUAAACGAUGAGUGCUAAGUGUUAGAGGGUUUCCGCCCUUUACUGCUGAAGUUAACGCAUUAAGCACUCCGCCUGGGGAGUACGGCCGCAAGGCUGAAACUCAAAGGAAUUGACGGGGGCCCGCACAAGCGGUGGAGCAUGUGGUUUAAUUCAAAUCAACGCGAAGAACCUUACCAUGUCUUGACAUCCUCUGACAACCCUAGAGAUAGGGCUUCUCCUUCGGGAGCAGAGUGACAGGUGGUGCAUGGUUGUCGUCAGCU